UACGGAGGGUGCAAGCGUUGUCCGGAUUUAUUGGGUUUAAAGGGUGCGUAGGCGGCUUGAUAAGUCCGUGGUGAAAGCCAACAGCUCAACUGUUGAACUGCCAUGGAUACUGUCAGGCUUGAGUACAGACGAGGUAGGCGGAAUGGAUCGUGUAGCGGUGAAAUGCAUAGAUACGAUCCAGAACCCCGAUUGCGUAGGCAGCUUACUAGGCUGUAACUGACGCUGAGGCACGAAAGCGUGGGGAGCGAACAGG
rnacentral:rRNA from 1 species